rnacentral:rRNA from 1 species
AGAGUUUGAUCCUGGCUCAGGAUGAACGCUAGCGGUAGGCUUAACACAUGCAAGUCGAGGGGUAACAGGUGUAGCAAUACAUGCUGACAACCGGCGCACGGGUGAGUAACGCGUAUGCAACCUUCCUUUAACUGGGGAAUAGCUCCGAGAAAUCGGAAUUAAUACCUCAUAACAUCCCGACAGGACAUCCUGUUGGAAUUAAAGCUCCGGCGGUUAAUGAUGGGCAUGCGUAGCAUUAGCUUGUUGGUGAGGUAACGGCUCACCAAGGCUCCGAUGCUUAGGGGGUCUGAGAGGAUGAUCCCCCACACUGGUACUGAGACACGGACCAGACUCCUACGGGAGGCAGCAGUGAGGAAUAUUGGGCAAUGGGCGCAAGCCUGACCCAGCCAUACCGCGUGCAGGAUGAAUGUCCUACGGAUUGUAAACUGCUUUUGUAUGGGAAGAAACCCCCCGAUUAUUCGGGGGUUGACGGUACUGUAUGAAUAAGGAUCGGCUAACUCCGUGCCAGCAGCCGCGGUAAUACGGAGGAUCCAAGCGUUAUCCGGAUUCAUUGGGUUUAAAGGGUGCGUAGGCGGGAUGAUAAGUCAGUGGUGAAAACCUGCAGCUUAACUGUAGAACUGCCAUUGAAACUGCCAUCCUUGAGUACAGUUGAGGUGGGCGGAAUGUGUCAAGUAGCGGUGAAAUGCUUAGAUAUGACAUAGAACUCCUAUUGCGAAGGCAGCUCGCUAAGCUGUAACUGACGCUGAGGCACGAAAGCGUGGGGAUCAAACAGGAUUAGAUACCCUGGUAGUCC